AACGCGAAGAACCUUACCUMGCCUUGACAUUGAUAGAACGGACCAGAGAUGGACCGGUGCCCUUCGGGGAACUUGAAAACAGGUGCUGCACGGCUGUCGUCAGCUCGUGUCGUGAGAUGUUGGGUUAAGUCCCGCAACGAGCGCAACCCUCGUCCUUAGUUGCCAGCAGGUUAAGCUGGGCACUCUAAGGAGACUGCCUUYGCAAGGAGGAGGAAGGUGAGGANGACGUCAAGUCAUCAUGGCCCUUACGGCUAGGGCUACACACGUGCUACAAUGGGGCGUACAGAGAGUUGCGAUACCGCGAGGUGGAGCCAAUCUCAUAAAGCGUCUUUCAGUUCGGAUUGGAGUUUGCAACUUGACUUCCGUGAGGCUGGAAACACUAGAAUU
rnacentral:rRNA from 1 species